rnacentral:tRNA from 1 species
GGCGGGGUAGCUCAAUGGCAGAGCAAAGUCAUCAUAAGGCUGAGGUUGCGGGUUCGACUCCCGCCCCCGCUA